CCAAAAAAAAAAAAAAAAAAAUCAUUUGGGGUUGGGGUGGUGGGGAGGGAAUUCCAGGUGGCACAAUAGAUUUGUGACACAGCCUUGGGAGGAGGCGCGCAGGAAGAGGUGUGUGUGUGUGUGUGUCUGAUCGCACAGCUUCUCUGCAGCAUCCGAAGGGGAAGGUGUGAUGUCAUUUCGGACGUCAGCCGUGCCUGUGAUGAGGCUCGAGGUGGUGGCUUGUGGUUCCAAGACUCUUUCUGCUGGGGGAGCCUGGCCCCGUGUUGACAGGGGACAGGAAGUCUGGGGAUCUAGUCGGGAGCCAUCAGCUCCGUGACUAGGCUGAUGAAUAGGAUUGGCGGUCAGGGCUUACUGGCGUCCCACUUGGGAUCUGACGAAGGAAAGCCCGUUGCACCCUGUAAAGUUCUGUGGGGUUGUCUUUACUGCCCCAACCACAAGCCAUCGCGUGCAGUUCUUGAAACAGGAGACAGAUUUCUUUCCCCUGGCAAGAAUCGUGAGGAAUACAGGCCAGGAUGCUUUGCAUUUUCCUGGCCUUAAAAUAAAACUGAACCCAAACCAGAGCACAGAUGCAACCCUUGGUUCUCCGGCUCUCCCGGCGCCCGCCAGUCUCGGUGCCCAGAGCUCCGUGGAGGGCGAGGUUGGCUGGGACCUGGUCCCCGUCCUCCUGGGCCCCCGUCAGGCAAGAGGCCGGACAUUCCUGUUCGGGGUUUCCUGCAGGAAGAGAGGAUCACAAAGGUGUCAGGAAAGUGGAGAGAAGCAGGGGUCCUUUCCGUUUAGUGAAACCGGGCCAAGCUUUCCGGAGAAGAGAAUGAGUUGGGUCCUAAAAGCUGGCUCGCCUUUGGGCAGUGGUUAUGGGCCAGUUUCCCAUCUCUUCUUCCAAAGAGCCCAUCACUGGGUGUUCAGAGAAUCUAAUUCACGCACCAUUUGGUUUGGGAAGAAAGACCUGUGGAAGAGGCGGGGCUUUCAGCUGGAGCCUUUCUCCCCAUCCUCCCGAGCUCGCCCAAGACUCCCCACCCACACUGGGUGGGAAAAUCAUCUAGCGAGAGUUUCACCGCUCAUUUCGCGGUAAGUUCCUUCCGCCUGGUUUGUUCUGUCCUGUGUCCACGGACCCUCUCAGCCCCCGGGCCUGAUCGAGGGUCUCUAACCCUGUCAGAUGCUCCCUCUCCGUGGCAGAGGGAGAACCUGGUCGAUCUCCCGAAACCUUGUUUUCUCCCAUAACCCAGAAGGUUUACACAACACCUUCUCUUACGUGUUCUCACUCUGCCCUCAGGCUGACCUUGAGAGCAUAUCCCCACUUUACAGAUGAGCCCCUUAAAGCCCAGAAAGGUGAACUGGGGAGUUCCCAUUGUGGUGCAGUGGUAAUGAACCCGACUCGCAUCCAUGAGGA